rnacentral:rRNA from 1 species
GAUGAACGCUGGCGGCGUGCCUAAUACAUGCAAGUCGAGCGAACAGACGAGGAGCUUGCUCCUCUGACGUUAGCGGCGGACGGGUGAGUAACACGUGGAUAACCUACCUAUAAGACUGGGAUAACUUCGGGAAACCGUAGCUAAUACCGGAUAAUAUAUUGAACCGCAUGGUUCAAUAGUGAAAGACGGUUUUGCUGUCACUUAUAGAUGGAUCCGCGCGGCAUUAGCUAGUUGGUAAGGUAACGGCUUACCAAGGCAACGAUGCAUAGCCGACCUGAGAGGGUGAUCGGACACACUGGAACUGAGACACGGUCCAGACUCCUACGGGAGGCAGCAGUAGGGAAUCUUCCGCAAUGGGCGAAAGCCUGACGGAGCAACGCCGCGUGAGUGAUGAAGGUCUUCGGAUCGUAAAACUCUGUUAUUAGGGAAGAACAUAUGUGUAAGUAACUGUGCACAUCUGGACGGUACCUAAUCAGAAAGCCACGGCCAACUACGUG